UUGCAGAUCACCUGGAUAUCUUGUUAAAAUGCAGAUUCUGGUUCAGGAGGUCAGGGAAGAGACCCAAGAUUCUGCAUUGCUAACAAGCUGUCGGGUGGUGUCAAU
rnacentral:pre_miRNA from 1 species